rnacentral:rRNA from 1 species
AUGAAGCUGGAAUUGCUAGUAAUGGCAGGUCAGCAUACUGCCGUGAAUACGUUCCCGGGCCUUGUACACACCGCCCGUCACACCAUGAGAGUUGGAAAUACCCGAAGCCUGUGAGCUAACAAACGAGGCAGCAGUCGAAGGUAGAGCCAAUGAUUGGGGUGAAGUCGUAACAAGGUACC